UAGACAUGGGAAUGGGUUCCAUAUGGAAGGUGCAAUAUUGAAGCUGCUUGCAUUGAUCUACAAUCGAUCUUGACUUCGGCUAGAAGUAGAAGAAGAUGGAGACGCAAACGGUUUUGACCAACAGAUUGCUAUUCAUUUCAAUCUUGCAAUUGAGGUUUGAGCCUCGAGAAUCAGUCUUGCAAAUCAAUUGCAACGGUGUGAUCAAUAGAUUGUUUAACGAAAAACAACUGAAAAGAUCCAUAGGAGCAGAGAAGGCUAUUUAUUUCUGUUCUUAGUUUUGCUAUUUUUAGACAAGCUGCUUUUGCGGCACUUGUAUGCACACAAAAGGUAUUCGUCUCGAACAUGAAUGUAUGCACAAAACAAGUAUCAUGCAUAUUGGUAUGAUGGGAAUUAUGUCCAUUUGCCUUUA